rnacentral:rRNA from 1 species
CCCUAGUAUAAAUGGAAUUUAUUAAAUAAGUAAGUUUUAGGAAAAUUAAUAAUUUUGGCAGUUAUUUUAUUUAUUAGAGGAGCUUGUUUGGGGUGAGAAGUUAUUCUUUAUAUUUUAAUUGUUAAAGGGUUAUUCAUUUCUGUUAUAAGAUGGAUUUGGUUUUAAAAAAUUUAUUUGGUAUUUUAGGUCAAGAUGUACUUUUAAUCAAGAAGAAUUAGCUACAAUUAUGUAAUGAUAAAUGGGGGUAAAGUAAUUUUAAUUAAUGGGUGCUAUUAAAUUUUAUAAUAUGGACAAUGAGUAUCUAAAUUGAAUUUAGUUGUAAUAAUAAUUAGAAAAUAAUUAUGAAGGGUCAUAAUUAAUGAA